rnacentral:rRNA from 1 species
GUGGCUUAAUUUGACUCAACGCGGGAAAUCUUACCGGGUCCGGACACACUGAGGAUUGACAGGCAAUAUAUGUGACUCUUCGGAGUUUGCAUUGUUAAAUAUGCUAGUCCUUUCAUGAUUAUGUGAUAGGUGGUGCAUGGCCGUUCUUAGUUCGUGGAGUGAUCUGUCUGCUUAAUUGCGUUUCAAAUUACUUAUAAGGUAGCAAUACGCGAUGAAGCUUUCAAUAGUCCUCACGGAUUCACUUGAGUCUCUCGCUUCGCUAUCCUUUCGAAUGCAACGAACGUGACCGCAACCUCUUGUUGCCUUCGUUUAACAUCCUGCAGCUCGCUGUGGGUACUGAGGGCUUCACUCGGUGACUUUGGGCUGAGCAAUCGGUCUUUUGAUCUGAGUAAACUA